rnacentral:lncRNA from 1 species
AUCCCGCGUCGCUGUUGUCGCUGUUGCAGCCGAGUUCAGCCGGGAGCAGAGCGAACCGCACCGGCCCGAGCGGAGCGCCGCACGUUCCCAACCGCGAGGCCAGGUGGGGUCUCACUCUGUUGCCCAAGCUGGAGUGCAGUGGCACAAUCUCGCCUCACUGCAACCGCCGCCUCCCAGGCCCAAGCAAUUCUCCCACCUCAGCCUUCUGAGUAGCCAGGACCGCAAGUGUGCAACAUCAAGCCUGGACAUCUGACUGUUGGUGUGAGACCAGUGCUCCUGGUGGUGUGCCCUGAGCCAUGGAGGCGCCUUUGCAGACAGAGAUGGUGGAGCUGGUGCCCAAUGGCAAACACUCAGAGGGGCUGCUCCCGGUCAUCACCCCCAUGGCAGGCAACCAGAGGUCGAGGACCCUGCACGGAGCUGUAUGGAGGGCAAGAGCUUCCUACAGAAAAGUCCCAGCAAGGAGCCACACUUCACUGACUUCGAGGGGAAGACAUCAUUCGGGAUGUCAGUGUUCAACCUCAGCAAUGCCAUCAUGGGCAGCGGCAUCCUGGGACUCGCCUAUGCCAUGGCCAAUACGGGCAUU